rnacentral:lncRNA from 10 species
GGUGGUAGCGCGAAUGGGAGGUGGAGCGGAGCUACUGCGCCGAGGGACGCUUCAGAAACUCUGUUUCAGUCCUUCGCGGAUCCUAGGAUGUGACAGGUGUUCGAGUUAAAAGGUCUUAAGGCGAUCGGUUGAUCCAAAAGCAGCUGAAUCUUUAGGAGGCCCAGGCAGGAGGAUCGCUUGAGUCCAGGAGUUCGAGACCAGCCUGGGCCACAGAGCAAGGUCACCAUCUCUACAAAAGAAAUUUUACAAAUCAGCCGGACAUGAUGGCGGGCACCUGUGGUCCCAACUACCAGGGAGGCUGAGGUGGGAGGAUCGCUUGAUAGCCCAGGAAGUUGACGGUGCAGAGAUCCCUCCACUGAACUCCAGGCCGGGUGACAGCAGAGCGAGAUCCUGUCUCAAAAAAAACAUAACCGACAUCCAGAAGUGAAAUAAAUUAGCCAGUGUCACAAAGUAUUAAUGGUUGAGUCACAAAUUGAAUCCUGUUUACCUGAUUCUUUACGUGAUUCCCAUGUAAGGAAUGUUAAAAACAGUAAAUACUAAUUCCUCUGCGUCCUGAA